rnacentral:tRNA from 1 species
CGUGUGUCGGCAUGCGCGCGCGGGUCUUUCGGCGGCCUGCCGCGGCGUGGUUUGACGAUGGUCGGUUCCAUGCCGACGAUAUUAGACC